rnacentral:rRNA from 1 species
GACGAACGCUGGCGGCGUGCUUAACACAUGCAAGUCGAACGGAAAGGCCCUGCUUUUGUGGGGUGCUCGAGUGGCGAACGGGUGAGUAACACGUGAGUAACCUGCCCUUGACUUUGGGAUAACUUCAGGAAACUGGGGCUAAUACCGGAUAGGAGCUCCUGCUGCAUGGUGGGGGUUGGAAAGUUUCGGCGGUUGGGGAUGGACUCGCGGCUUAUCAGCUUGUUGGUGGGGUAGUGGCUUACCAAGGCUUUGACGGGUAGCCGGCCUGAGAGGGUGACCGGCCACAUUGGGACUGAGAUACGGCCCAGACUCCUACGGGAGGCAGCAGUGGGGAAUAUUACACAAUGGGCGGAAGCCUGAUGCAGCAACGCCGCGUGCGGGAUGACGGCCUUCGGGUUGUAAACCGCUUUCGCCUGUGACGAAGCGUGAGUGACGGUAACGGGUAAAGAAGCACCGGCUAACUACGUG